CGGGAAUUCGGUGCGGUUCGAAAACACCCUGAACCAAGGCCGGAACUGCCCUGCAACUGUAUCUGCGCUGUUUUGGCGGCGCACAAGUCAGAUGACCG
rnacentral:ncRNA from 14 species